AGAACCAAGGUGAGAAGGUACAUGCACGAAAAGAAAAAGAGUGAAAAGGAGGAAACGAAAGAAUAUAAAGGAGUAGUCAGCAUUCCACAUCUGAAAGGGUUGUCAGAAAAGUUUAAGAGAAUAACAGAGAAGCAUGUAAUUCGAACAACAUUUAGACCAGGAAGAAAGUUAAAAGAGUUGAAAGUACGAGUUCAACAUCCGUUAGGAAACAAACGAAAGGCGGUUGUCUAUAAGAUACCAUGCGGUUGUGAAAGAGCAGUGUACAUAGGAGAGACAUAUCGACAAUUUGAAACAAGGAAGAAAGAACAUGAGAGCAAAGUACGAUUAAUAAAACAGGACAUAAAGAAUGGGAAGUUAGAAUCAGCAGAACAAAGGAUGGGGAAGGAAGACGGUGGCUUGGCAAGACACAGUGUUAAGUGUACAGGAGAGAUUGAGUGGGAAAAAGCUGGAAUGAUUGCGAUGGAGAAGGGAUUGAGGCAAAGAAAAGCAAGGGAAGG